AACGAACGCUGGCGGCAUGCCUAACACAUGCAAGUCGAACGAGACCUUCGGGCCUAGUGGCGCACGUGUGCGUAACGCGUGGGAACCUGCCCUUAGGUUCGGAAUACCUCCCCGUAAGGGGUGCUAAUACCGGAUAAUGUCUUCGGGCCUAAGAUGUUUCGCCUUUGGCUGGGGCCGCGUUGGUUUAGGUGGUUGGUAGGGUAAAAGCCGACCAAGGCGACGAUGCAUAGCUGGUCUGUGAGGAUGAUCAGCCACACUGGGACUGCGACACGGACUAGACUCCUACGCAAGGGAGGAGUAGGGAAUAUUGGACACUGGGGGAUAACGUGGUCCCGCAAUGCCGGGUGAGUGAUGAAGGGGUUAGGGUUGUAAAGCUCUUUUAGCCGGAGUGAUAGUGACAGUACCGGGAGAAUAAGCACCGGCUAACUACGUG
rnacentral:rRNA from 1 species